rnacentral:lncRNA from 1 species
AAUGAGGGCAAGGACCUUGUUCCACCAGCAGGCAAAAAAGCAUGGCAGCCCUUCCUGGAAGGAUUCCUGCUGGUGUGGGGUUGAUUGAAGAAGAGGAUUCACCUGAGCUGGGAGUAGCCAGAAGGCUCCUGGCCCCUUUACAAAUACAGGAGGUAACUGAUCAGCAGUGCUCCAGCUACAUGAAAUGGAAGUGUUAA